rnacentral:rRNA from 1 species
UACGUAGGGUGCGAGCGUUAAUCGGAAUUACUGGGCGUAAAGCGUGCGCAGGCGGCUUUGCAAGACAGAUGUGAAAUCCCCGGGCUUAACCUGGGAACUGCAUUUGUGACUGCAUGGCUGGAGUGCGGCAGAGGGGGAUGGAAUUCCGCGUGUAGCAGUGAAAUGCGUAGAUAUGCGGAGGAACACCGAUGGCGAAGGCAAUCCCCUGGGCCUGCACUGACGCUCAUGCACGAAAGCGUGGGGAGCAUACAGG